GAUGAAGAACGUAGCGAAAUGCGAUACGUAAUGUGAAUUGCAGAAUUCAGUGAAUCAUCGAAUCUUUGAACGCAUAUUGCGCUCUCUGGUAUUCCGGAGAGCAUGCUUGUUUGAGUAUCAGUAAACACCUCAACUUCCAUAUCUUUUUUGAAAUGGGAGUUGGACUUGAGUGAUCCCAACGCUUUUCCUCACCGAAAAGUGGCGGGUUACUUGAAAUGCAGGUGCAGCUGGACUUUUCUCUGAGCUAUAAGCAUAUCUAUUUAGUCUGCCUAAAAACAGAUUAUUACCUUUGCUGCAGCUAACAUAAAGUAGAUUAGUUCUUGUGCUGACUGAUGCAGGAUUCACAAAGACAGGCUUCGGCCGACUUUGUAAACUCGAUCUCAAAUCAAGUAAGACUACCCGCUGAACUUAAGCAUAUCAAUAAGCGGAGGA
rnacentral:misc_RNA from 1 species